rnacentral:rRNA from 1 species
UGGUGGAGCGAUUUGUCUGGUUUAUUCCGUUAACGAACGAGACCUCGACCUGCUAAAUAGCUCGGCGGACACUUCUGUGUCCGGCCGCGGCUUCUUAGAGGCACAGCCGGUUUCUAGCCGGAGGAAGUUCGAGGCAAUAACA